UAUACUUCCGCUCCCACACUCGACCCGCUUUCACUAUUUUUUGCUUCGAAAAAACUGUACUGCUCGUUCGCCGGUGCUCCUCGUCGGAAUCCGUUUGAUUUGCUGCCGGUAUCUGGGUCUCUAUUGAAGACUAGCAUAUAAUCCAAUGGGUGAUAGUCAAUACUCUUUCUCACUUACUACUUUCAGUCCAUCUGGAAAGCUGGUUCAGAUUGAACAUGCCUUGACAGCAGUUGGAUCGGGUCAAACAUCACUGGGGAUCAAAGCCGCUAAUGGUGUUGUAAUUGCAACUGAGAAGAAACUACCAUCCAUUCUGGUUGAUGAAACAUCUGUGCAAAAGAUUCAGACUCUGACACCAAAUAUUGGAGUAGUUUACAGCGGCAUGGGCCCUGAUUCUCGAGUUUUGGUGCGAAAAAGUAGAAAGCAGGCUGAGCAAUAUUAUCGACUCUAUAAAGAACCUAUACCUGUCACACAACUGGUGAGG
rnacentral:misc_RNA from 1 species